UCCCAUACCGAACACGGAAGUUAAGCUCUCUAGCGCCGAUGGUAGUUGGGACCUUGUCCCUGUGAGAGUAGGACGUUGCCAGGCU
rnacentral:rRNA from 1 species